ensembl:lncRNA
CCCGUGACUGCUACUUUCUGUGGCAGCUCUGGCUGAAGUGUUGAAAGGCAACCUCUACAGCAUGGCCCUUUGUGCUUUGGUCCAUCCUGCAGGGCUUUUGGCAGGGAGAGCCCUGGAAUCUGCCAAGAAGGCUGGUUAUGUGGGCAGAAGCAGCGGUCCAGGGAGAAGACUUGACAGCACCGCGCCCGGUUCAUCUCUCUAUCCAGUUGUUGCCCCUGACACUGAUGGGCUGUGAUGCUGAUGGGAGCCUGGAGCCUAAGGUGGUCCAGAUCUUUUGGGUCACAGAAGAGGGUAGAAAAGCAGGGUGCAUCCUGGGAAACAACGGAGGUUUCACCAUGAAAUAGAUUUUGGCCUUUUGUUGGACUUGACCUCCCCCCUUUCCCUUUUGACCAGGAGUGGGUCAUGGGGUGGCUCCUUGCAUCCAGGACCAUCAGUGUAUUCCCAGCAUAGUGUGGAGAAUGGGUGUUGCGGGAAACCAGGGAUGUGCCGGGGCUGGCUUUCCCAGCCUUGCAUAAAGGGCUGAGCCGCGGUGUACAGCACAGGCGGGGGCGGGGGUGGGGGUGCUGAGCAGCGCAGGACAAAGGCGCAUGUCAGCAAGUCCUCCAUCCGGCGGUCCCGGGGACUUGGCAGACCAGCCAGAGUUUCCUGGCAUUUGGUUCUGAAGUAGGUAAGGCCAGCUGGCUCCGGAGAGUUUUUUGUAAAGCUUAUGUCAGUCUGCGUCUUGGGGUCCUGUUUGCUGCCUGGGGGGUGAUGGAGCUGGCUGGCCGAGUCCCAGCUGUUCCUUUGGGGGCCCAUGUGGAGAUUCUGGACUCCUACAGCAUCUUUCAAGCCAGUAGAGGAUGGGGGGCAGCGGGUUGCAGGAAGGUAGGGCUGGGGCUAGAACAC